CCCGCAGUCGCUGCCGCAGGACAUCAUGGGAGUCGUAGUCUCAUCCUCGGAGCUGGCCCUAACUGGACGCAGCCUACAGGGACUCCCAAGAAGACUCCCCCACCCAACACUCAUCUUGGGGCUCUAACAGAAGGCCCCCAAUUGCACCAUGGGGGGUCCCAGACCUCAGCCCCAUAACUGGGGCUCAGAGAGGGGUGAGGCCUAUGGAAUCAGCUGCAGCACCCCGUGGAGCCCCCCAGAGGUCAGAGUUCCCAUGGCAGGGUCGAUCACAACUACAGGAGGCCCCAGGAACCUGCCCCCAUGGUCAGCUGCUGGCCCCCACUGCCUGGGCUCAGGGGGUGCUGAGGAACUUGCUGUGACCAGCUUUGUGGGGCCUGAACCCCAGGACAUCCUGCUCAGUACCCUCUGCAGGCCUCAUCCCCCAGGGGGCACUGGUGUGGCAACCAGGCCCUGCCCCCGCACUGGCUCCUCCACCAGUGACUUGAAUGGGCCUGAUACUGAUGUGAGGUCUAAGAUUGGGGGUUCCCACCCCCUACAACCCCAGAUGCCAGCGCCUCCCCCUUUCUUGGUGGAACUGGCACGGGGCCCCCGAGGCUUUGGGCUGAGCCUAUGUGGGGGACCAUGACUGCGGCUGUGGCCUCUACAUCUGUGUGCUACUGGAGGGGGGGCCAGCCCAGCACUGUGGAUGCAUCCAGGUAAGUGACCAGGUGGUGGAGAUUAAUGGGGUGCCGGCCCAGAGCCUGACACACACCCAAGCCCUGGACUGGAUGUGCUGGGGAGGGCCCCACCUCCGUCUCGUCCUGCACCGUGGCAAUGGCCUUGUCCCCACACAUGACCAUGAGCUCAGUCCUCCCCAGCCUGACCUGACACCUCGGGCUUGACCACCACCAUGGGAAGGACCUGAUUCUGGACAUGGGGGACCAGGCCCCAAAGCAGGGAACAAGGUUGCCAGUGGGCUAGUCAGCUCCCCCUAUGGGGCCCUGGCUGGUACCCAGCAAGGAGUGUCUGUACCAGGCCCUGUGGGGGGGCCGAGGUGAAGAGGCAGAGCUAAGACAGGCCCUUCCCCCUCACCAUGUGGAAUAUUCUUGGUGCCUGGGGGCAUCCACCCACAACAGAGGGUGAUGGUGCAGCCUGUCCCCACUAUCUGAGAUAUGCAAUGGUAUCUUCCCUUCUAUCCCUGGUUUAGGCAGUAGAAUCUGCCAUUUCUUAUUUCCCCUCUGAGUGCAAUGGUAUGUUCCAUUUUCUAUCCCUUUCCCUAGUUGGGCUGUGCAAUUGUGUCUUCUGUUAACCAUCUACCCCAGACUUGUCUUUUAUAAUAGAACCUUCUGCCUCA